AUUGAACGCUGGCGGCAGGCCUAACACAUGCAAGUCGAGCGAGCGGCGGACGGGUGAGUAAUGUAUGGGGAUCUGCCCGCUGGAUGGGGAUAACUACUGGAAACGGUUGCUAAUACCGCAUACUUUCGUAUGAACCACUAUUGUAUUAGCUAGUAGGUGGGGUAAAGGCUCACCUAGGCGACCAUCUCUAGCUGGUCUGAGAGGAUGAUCAGCCACACUGGGAAUGAGAAACGGUCAAGACUCCUACGGGAGGCAGCAGUGGGUAAUAUUGCACAAUGGGCGCAAGCCUGAUGCAGCCAUGCCGCGUGUAUGAAGAAGGCCUUAGGUUUGUAAAGUACUUUCAGCGGGGAGGCGUUACCCGCAGAAGAAGCACCGGCUAACUCCGUGCCAGCAGCCGCGGUAAUAC
rnacentral:rRNA from 1 species